rnacentral:rRNA from 1 species
UACGUAGGGGGCAAGCGUUGUCCGGAAUUAUUGGGCGUAAAGAGCGUGUAGGCGGUCCGGUAAGUCAGCUGUGAAAGUCAAGGGCUCAACCCUUGAAUGCCGGUUGAUACUGUCGGGCUAGAGUCCGGAAGAGGCGAGUGGAAUUCCUGGUGUAGCGGUGAAAUGCGCAGAUAUCAGGAGGAACACCAAUGGCGAAGGCAGCUCGCUGGGGAUGUGCCGACGCUGAGACACGAAAGCCAGGGGAGCGAACGGG